UACGUAGGGGGCAAGCGUUGUCCGGAUUUAUUGGGCGUAAAGAGCGUGUAGGCGGCCAGGUAGGUCGGUUGUGAAACUAGAGGCUUAACCUCUAGACGUCGACCGAAACCAUCUGGCUAGAGUCCGGAAGAGGAGAGUGGAAUUCCCGGUGUAGCGGUGAAAUGCGCAGAUAUCGGGAAGAACACCCGUGGCGAAGGCGGCUCUCUGGGACGGUACUGACGCUGAGACGCGAAAGCGUGGGGAGCGAACAGG
rnacentral:rRNA from 1 species